UUUAGGAAAACAUGUACUUUUAAUUCACCCUUGGGUGAAAUCGAAGCGUAGUGUGUACUGAAUGCGUGUUGAUGAUGAUGCAUAUGAAUUGCAACUUACACGUCUUCCAAACCUUUUCAGUACCCUGGCACAUGCUUUGUCCAAUGGACCAUGGAAGGGACUUUACUUGGCUGACGAGGACGCACCUCACCAGUAUCAGAGCAACAGCUGUGGGGUGUUUAUGCUGAUGUACGCAAUGUAUUCUACCCUCAAAAGCAAUAUGAUUUCAGUGAGGUGAGUUCUUUCUAAUCUCAAUCAGAUGUGUAGCAUGAAAUAUAAGGCUUUUAAUAAUUUAGUCAUCCUUACUGGAGGCUACAAUUAACAUGCAUCAUAGGUCAUACACAUUACUUUGUCUUCAGGUACUGCACUUACGGGAGGAGAUGGCUACAUCUUCACAAUAAUUUACACUGCCAUAGUACACUGCUAAACAGUACUGUAACAUGGAUUUGUAUUGGGCUAUGAAGUCAUUUAAAGCAUAAUUUUACUUUUCAGGGGGACAUGCUCUCUAUCAGGAGGUGGUGGUUUGACAGCUGUUGGAGACCUUUAUGCUUGAAAGCCCUGCAGGACUAGCUGGCACACCAAGCUCACCCUCUCCAUCUCCCCAUCUCAGCCACACGCUCCAAUCUGGCACAACAGAGGACAGGCCAUUCUUACCACCCGAAGUCCUUCAGCAAAUUGUACAAGAGACGCUGAGACUGGACAUGGCGAUGCUUGGCGUGUUCAACAGGGUUUCAAACACAUUCCGAGAACUUAUCAAGCCUCUCCAUCAUUCCAUAUAUAUAAAUGACAGUUUGGCAGGGGACAUUAAGCUUAAUAAAGACAAUCUCACAUACAUAACGGUUAGAAAGAUGCACAACAAUGCAGGCUGUGUCAGUGGCCUUGCGCUACGCCUCAAAGGCUUCUCAAAAAAGAAGAAUUGGCCUAGCGCACCCCUGGUACUGAGGCACGUUGCAUAUGGCAGGUUUGUCAUAAAAGAUGUCUGCCUAGCAUAAUGUUCUUUUAUUACUCCUUUUUCGUUUUAUUUGGGACGUCUUUUUUUGCAAUCCCUUUCAUUUGUAAAUGUACAUACUACUGUAGUAAAUGUAUCUGCCCAGAAA